CUGUACGAGUCGACUCCGACUGAGAACAGACAGAAGAACAGAAAGCUUCAACUCAGAACCUGUCAACGAGUCGACUCCCAAAGUGCGCGACUCGACUCCGAUGUUCACCGAGUCGACUCCAGGAUAGUAAGAGUCGACUCCAAGAGGAGCACAAAGAAAAAGUCAGAGAGCAGUUUUCGGGUCUGAGAUUCGAGUCGACUCCAGUGAAACGCGAGUCGACUCCGAUGGAUGGCAAGUCAACUCCAAAGAAGGUGAGAGUCGACUCUCAGAGGAACACAAGAAAAAGUCAGAGAGCAAUUUUUGGACUCUGAGAUUCGAGUCGACUCCCGCAAUAUGCGAGUCGACUCCAAGACUCCGCGACCAUCAACAGACAGAAGAACAAGUUACUGCCUCUGAGAUUCGAGUCGACUCCCAGACAGCUCGAGUCGACUCCAAGACAGCUUCACAUCAAAAAGGCAGAAGACCAAGUUUCGGAAACUGAGAGCCGAGUCGA
rnacentral:lncRNA from 1 species